rnacentral:rRNA from 1 species
CGUGUAGGCGGUCGGUCAAGUUCGGUGUGAAAGCCCGGGGCUCAGCUCCGGAAGUGCAUCGGAAACUAGCCGACCCGAGCGCGAUAGAGGAGGGUGGAAUUCCUGGUGUAGCGGUGAAAUGCGUAGAUAUCAGGAGGAACACCGGCGGCGAAGGCGGCCCUCUGGGUCGUUGCUGACGCUGAGACGCGAAAGCGUGGGGAGCAAACA